rnacentral:lncRNA from 1 species
GAGAUUUGCUCAGGGCCGGGCUCCUCGCCUCCCCAGAGAGCUGCCUUGCCAGAAAACUCCAGGAACAGAAGACAUCUACUGUAUGGAUUAAAAUACAUGAGGCAAGUCAUAGAAGUGUAGGACUGGAAAAAGGCAAAAAAAAAUCAUCUCAGCUAUUCUCUUCUUCCCCCAAAGGGAGACAAGACUACUCCUGAAAGAAGUAAUUGAAGCACUUGGGAACUCCCAGAUAAAAGGACUGAGCAGUAUCGAGAGCAAAGUUUGAUCCGUGGCUGCAAAUGGCUGUAAGGGCCAGCUCAUUUUGCAAUUCAUCACAGGUUCUUCUGUA